AUCCAUCCAUCCAUCCAUCUGCUUUCUGGCACCCAUGAUAGGUGAGCAGAUUUAUUCUAAACUAUGCUGUCUGCAAUGAUGUUCUGCCUCAUCACAGGUUCUAAGACAGCAGAUUGAACCAGCAGUGAACUGAAAGUCCUAAAGCCAUGAGUCCUAAGGAAUUAUUUCUUCGUUUUAAGAUGGCUAUCUCAGAAAGGUGGAUUGCAAGAAGAAUGAGAUGAUUUAUACAGGAAACCUUUCUUCAGAUGGUCAUCAUCUAUCCACUGAAGGCUUGAAUCUACCAAAGGUAUAAAGUCAAGGACGGAGCAGUCUUUCCCUCUCUAUUUGCCUCAUUGACCUGGAACAUCUCAUCUAAUUUUCUCCUGACUUUGAGUUGGCAAUUACAUUUAUUUACCCUGUUCUCAUGCCUUUGAAAGUAGACUAAAUUACUCUAACAACUGUUUUUCUGCCUGCAGAUGGUAAAUCUCAAGAGUUCUCAAAUUCCAAAAUUAUUGUGAGUCAAUUCUCCAGUUGUUUAUAUUUCCC
rnacentral:sRNA from 1 species